UGGGAAGGGAAUAAAAGAGCGGGGUGGGAGGGGGGAAUUUUUUUUUCUCCCCCCUAGAAAAAAUGGUGGGGGGGGGAAAAAACCCCCCCAAAAAAAAAAAUUUUUGGGGGUUUAUAAUUUCCCCCCAAUAAAUUUUUUUUUUGGGUAUUAAAAAGGGGGGGGGACCUUUUUGGAACCCCCCCCGGCUUUUCAAAUUGGGCCCUUGGGUAAGAGUUUAGCUUUGUUGGGUUAGUGUAAAAAGCCCUACCAAAAGCCAACCGAUUUUUUAGGUUGGUUGGAGAGGAAGAUUCAACCCACAUCCGGGAAUUGAGACCCGGCCCCGAACUCCUACGGGGAGCAGCCAGUGGGGAAUUAUUGGACAAUGGGGGCAACCCUGAUCCAGCAAUACCGCGUGUGUGAAGAAGGCCUGAGGGUGUUAAAGCAUUUUCAAUUGUGAAGAAAAGUAACGGUUUAUAACCGUUGACCUUGACGUUACUUUAGAAGAAGCACCGGCUAACUCCGUGCCAGCAGCCGCGGUAAUACGGAGGGUGCAAGCGUUAAUCGGAAUUACUGGGCGUAAAGCGUGCGUAGGCGGUUUAUUAAGUCAGAUGUGAAAGCCCCGGGCUUAACCUGGGAACUGCAUUUGAAACUGGUCAACUAGAGUAUGGUAGAGGAAAGUGGAAUUUCUGGUGUAGCGGUGAAAUGCGUAGAUAUCAGAAGGAACAUCAAUGGCGAAGGCAGCUUUCUGGACCAAUACUGACGCUGAGGUACGAAAGCGUGGGUAGCAAACAGGAUUAGAUACCCUGGUAGUCCACGCCGUAAACGAUGAUAACUAGCCGUUGGGGGGAUUUACCCUUUAGUGGCGAAGCUAACGCGUUAAGUUAUCCGCCUGGGGAGUACGGCCGCAAGGCUAAAACUCAAAGGAAUUGACGGGGACCCGCACAAGCGGUGGAGCAUGUGGUUUAAUUCGAUGCAACGCGAAGAACCUUACCUGGUCUUGACAUCCUGCGAACUUUCUAGAAAUAGAUUGGUGCCUUCGGGAACGCAGUGACAGGUGCUGCAUGGCUGUCGUCAGCUCGUGUCGUGAGAUGUUGGGUUAAGUCCCGUAACGAGCGCAACCCCUAUCCUUAUUUGCCAGCACAUUAUGGUGGGAACUAUAAGGAGACUGCCGGUGAUAAACCGGAGGAAGGCGGGGACGACGUCAAGUCAUCAUGGCCCUUACGACCAGGGCUACACACGUGCUACAAUGGGAAGGACAAAGAGCCGCGAAGCCGCGAGGUGUAGCUAAUCUCAUAAAUCUUUUCGUAGUCCGGAUUGGAGUCUGCAACUCGACUCCAUGAAGUCGGAAUCGCUAGUAAUCGUAGAUCAGAAUGCUAUCUGAUUUCGCCCCU
rnacentral:rRNA from 1 species